AGCGAACGCUGGCGGCAGGCCUAACACAUGCAAGUCGAACGGAUCCUUCGGGAUUAGUGGCGGACGGGUGAGUAACACGUGGGAACGUGCCCUUUGGUUCGGAACAACUCAGGGAAACUUGAGCUAAUACCGGAUGUGCCCUUCGGGGGAAAGAUUUAUCGCCAUUGGAGCGGCCCGCGUCUGAUUAGCUAGUUGGUGAGGUAACGGCCCACCAAGGCGACGAUCAGUAGCUGGUCUGAGAGGAUGAUCAGCCACACUGGGACUGAGACACGGCCCAGACUCCUACGGGAGGCAGCAGUGGGGAACCUUGCGCAAUGGGCGAAAGCCUGACGCAGCCAUGCCGCGUGAAUGAUGAAGGUCUUAGGAUUGUAAAAUUCUUUCAGCGGGGACGAUAAUGACGGUACCCGCAGAAGAAGCUCCGGCUAACUUCGUG
rnacentral:rRNA from 1 species